UCACAGUCUCACGUGGGGUUAAUUGCCUUGCUGUAUAGUGAUGCAAUCGGGGUUAACGUUUUAAAAUUAUAAUUUUUUUCAUCUGAACUUAGAAAAGGACGCCCUAUAUUCAAAAGCUUAACACUCUAUCCACUGUGCAAGUGAGAACCACAGCCUCUCAGAUGGUAGCCACAUACUACUGUCUUCUGUACUGCAGCCUGGAACUCUUACUGCUGUGCAACUGACCCUAACAGCCUCCCAGACUGUAGCCACAUACUACUGUCUUCUGUACUGCAGCCUGGAACUCUUACUGCUGUGCAACUGACCCUAACAGCCUCCCAGACUGUAGCCACAUACUACUGUCUUCUGUACUGCAGCCUGGAACUCUUACUGCUGUGCAACUGACCCUAACAGCCUCCCAGACUGUAGCCACACAUCUUUGUCAGGAGACUGUGUGAUUUCAGUUGCUGAGGAGGUUGCCAGUGCGGACUCUCAUUUUCAGAUGACUCCACUGCAGAAGGCCGUGCCAGAAGGAAGAAGGUCCAGGAAAAUAGAAAGUUUCAACGCACCUGAUAGACUGGAAAGCACACAGAGGGGUCUGGCAGAGGGCUAAAGAGGCUGGUAGUAGGAAUCAGGUGUGAUUGUAUUGCAUUGAAUGAUGCUGAUAAUCUUCUAUCUGGGAUCUUGUGCAGGAUAGAUGUAAACUCCCCUGAGCUUGCACUACACAUAUCAGCCCUAACAGGUGCAACAGGUAAAAUUUGGCCUGUGUGUUACAGGUCAAGAUAAGUUAACUAGGCACUCCCUGGAAGAUUGCUGCAGAACUCUGUAGCACCUGGAAGAAAAGCAGCUACAAGAUAAAGACUAGUGUAGUUAAACACUAUCAUUUUACUCGCUGUCAGACAGUGAUCUGCCAUUGCCCUACGGUGGCAGUGCCUGGGAGCUGCGUGGAGGCUGGCGGCAGGUUUAAAGUUUCCAGCGGAAGGCGCGGAAGCCCUCAGUUUGAGAGCUGAGAUUUGAGGUGGCAGGUUGUACCGGGAGCCUGGCUGCUGUGUGAAGCGGAGCUACCAAACAGGCAUCACAGAGAAUUACCAUCAAAGAGUUGACGUCUUGCACAAAAUGUGCUCUGCUCUUAGAUUUCUUUUUAGCAGCGCUGCUUCCAACACUGCUGGCUUAGUCCAAAACGUUUCAAGUUAAUGCCAAGUGACUUUUUAUUUUUUGGUUGGGUUAUUUUGAAAUGAAUUGUCUUUACAGCCGAGUAAAGUGCAAAGGGGGGAGGUUCUGGGGUGUAGCACAGGGUCUGUACAGUGUUGGGGGAAUGAACAGUUUGGAGAUCCAGUUUAACCUUCACCAGAGGGUGUCUUGCUCAGGUUUGUACCGAUGUUUCACAAAGAUGGCUGCAGUGGGUGACAUCAGACCAGAAACCCAGGAACCAGGAAAUAAACAACAGAGGU